GUGGGGUAACGGCCUACCAAGGCGAUGACGGGUAGCUGGCGUGAGAGCGUGGCCAGCCACACUGGGACUGAGACACGGCCCAGACUCCUACGGGAGGCAGCAGCAGGGAAUAUUGCACAAUGGGCGAAAGCCUGAUGCAGCGACGCCGCGUGAGGGAUGACGGCCUUCGGGUUGUAAACCUCUUUCAGGAAGGACGAAGCGAAAGUGACGGUACUUCCAGAAGAAGCCCCGGCCAACUACGUGCCAGCAGCCGCGGUAAUACGUAGGGGGCAAACGUUGUCCGGAUUUAUUGGGCGUAAAGAGCUCGUAGGCGGCUCAGCAAGUCGGCCGUGAAAGCCCGAGGCUCAACCUCGGGAGGCCGGUCGAAACUGCUGUGGCUAGGGUCCGGUAGAGGAGAGUGGAAUUCCCGGUGUAGCGGUGAAAUGCGCAGAUAUCGGGAGGAACACCAGUAGCGAAGGCGGCUCUCUGGGCCGGUACCGACGCUGAGGAGCGAAAGCUAGGGGAGCAAACAGGAUUAGAUACCCUGGUAGUCCUAGCUGUAAACGUUGGGCACUAGGUGUGGCGGAUUCAUUGACAUCUGCCGUGCCGAAGCUAACGCAUUAAGUG
rnacentral:rRNA from 1 species